rnacentral:rRNA from 1 species
GUACCUUUUGCAUCAUGGUCUGACUAGUUUAACCAAGCAAAAUGAAUUUUAAGUUUGUCCCCCCGAAACUAGGUGAGCUACUUCAAAACAGCCUUAUGGGCCAACCCAUCUCUGUUGCAAAAGAGUGGGAAGAUUUUCAAGUAGAGGUGACACACCUACCGAGCCUAGAGAUAGCUGGUUAUUCAAGAAACGGAUAUAGUCCAAUUUUAAACCUACACACAAUCUUAAGUAUACCAAUAGAUUUAAAAUUUAUUCAAAUAAGGUACAGCCUAUUUGAAACAGGAUACAACCUAUAACGAAGGGUAAUGUUUUUAUAUGUGACAAAGUAGGCCUAAGAGCAGCCACCUUAUGCAAAAGCGUUACAGCUUCAUCACACAGACCUCUAAUCCCAGUCAAAACCCAAAACCCUCCUCUAAUAUUGAAUGACUCCAUAUUAAUAUGGAAGACCUUAUGUUAGAACUAGUAACAAGAAUAAAUUCUCCCACAAGCACGUGUAAGCCGGAAUGAACUUUUCACCGGCACUUAUCGCCAAUGAAUAAAUGGUAACAACAAUACAAGAAAACACUACCCAUCCAAGCGUUAACCUAACACUAGAACUUCCAGGAAGAU